rnacentral:rRNA from 1 species
GACGAACGCUGGCGGCGUGCCUAACACAUGCAAGUCGAACGGGGAGUUAGUAAUAACUCCUAGUGGCGAACGGGUGAGUAACGCGUAGAUAACCUGCCUCUAAACUGGGGACAACACCGCGAAAGUGGUGCUAAUACCGAAUGUGGUAUCUUGGUCGCAUGACUGAGAUAAGAAAGAUGGCCUCUGAAUAUGCUAUCGAUUAGAGUUGGGUCUGCGUCUGAUUAGCUAGUUGGUGAGGUAACGGCGAACCAAGGCGACGAUCAGUAGCCGGUCUGAGAGGAUGAACGGCCACACUGGGACUGAGACACGGCCCAGACUCCUACGGGAGGCAGCAGUGGGGAAUCAUCCGCAAUGGACGAAAGUCUGACGGAGCAACGCCGCGUGAGUGAAGAAGGUCUUCGGAUUGUAAAGCUCUGUCGUUUGGGACGAACGUAUUCUAUGUGAAUAAUGUAGAGUAAUGACGGUACCAAAGGAGGAAGCCACGGCUAACUACGUGCCAGCAGCCGCCGUAAAAC